rnacentral:tRNA from 1 species
UUUAAAAUGGCAGAAUAGUGCAUUGAGCUUAAGAUUCAAAUAUAAAGAUUAAUCUUUUUUUAAAA